rnacentral:rRNA from 1 species
GCAGUCGAGCGGUAAGGCCCUUCGGGGUACACGAGCGGCGAACGGGUGAGUAACACGUGGGUGAUCUGCCUUGCACUUCGGGAUAAGCCUGGGAAACUGGGUCUAAUACCGGAUAUGACCUCGGAAUGCAUGUUCUGGGGUGGAAAGAUUUAUCGGUGCGAGAUGGGCCCGCGGCCUAUCAGCUUGUUGGUGAGGUAACGGCUCACCAAGGCGACGACGGGUAGCCGACCUGAGAGGGUGACCGGCCACACUGGGACUGAGACACGGCCCAGACUCCUACGGGAGGCAGCAGUGGGGAAUAUUGCACAAUGGGCGCAAGCCUGACGCAGCGACGCCGCGUGCGGGAUGACGGCCUUCGGGUUGUAAACCGCUUUUGACAGGGACGAAGCGCAAGUGACUGUACCUGUAGAAUAAGGACCGGCCAACUACGUGCCAGCAGCCGCGGUAAUACGUAGGGUCCGAGCGUUGUCCGGAAUUACUGGGCGUAAAGAGCUUGUAGGCGGUUCGUCGCGUCGUUUGUGAAAACUUGGAGCUCAACCUUAAGCUUGCAGGCGAUACGGGCGGACUAGAGUACUUCAGGGGAGACUGGAAUUCCUGGUGUAGCGGUGAAAUGCGCAGAUAUCAGGAGGAACACCGGUGGCGAAGGCGGGUCUCUGGGAAGUAACUGACGCUGAGAAGCGAAAGCAUGGGUAGCAAACAGGAUUAGAUACCCUGGUAGUCCAUGCCGUAAACGGUGGGUACUAGGUGUGGGGCUCCUUCCACGGACUCCGUGCCGUAGCUAACGCAUUAAGUA